UGCGGAGGGUGCAAGCGUUAAUCGGAAUUACUGGGCGUAAAGCGUGCGUAGGCGGUUCGUUAAGUCUGUUGUGAAAGCCCCGGGCUCAACCUGGGAAUGGCAAUGGAUACUGGCGAGCUAGAGUGUGUCAGAGGAUGGUGGAAUUCCCGGUGUAGCGGUGAAAUGCGUAGAGAUCGGGAGGAACAUCAGUGGCGAAGGCGGCCAUCUGGGACGGUACUGACGCUGAGGCGCGAAAGCGUGGGGAGCAAACAGG
rnacentral:rRNA from 1 species